UUCUGCGCCGUGUAGACUACACCCGCCCGCUGAUCCUGCAAACCGAUUUCUCUAACCAUGGGAUUGGUGCUGUUUUAGGCCAGCUGGACGAUCAGGGUAACGAGUACAUCUGCGCGUGCAUUAGUUGUUCCCUUAAUAAGCAUGAAAAAAAUUAUAGUAGCUACAAAGGAGAGAUGCUUGCUGCUGUUUGGGCGGUCAAAAUGUUCCGACAUCACCUCCUUGGUGGGCCCAAGUUCACUCUUGUCACUGACCAUCAACCCCUAACGUACCUCAUGAGCGCAGAUGGGCUCACGGGGCAGUAUGCACGGUUUGCACUCAUCAUGCAGGAAUACGACUUUGAGGUUGUGCAUCGCCCGGGUCUUAAGCACCAAAAUGCUGACCUGCUCUCUAGGCAACCGGUCCCGUCAACCAUUGACAACACAGGGGCUCGCAUGGAUCCGGACUUGUGUGAAACACGCCGUACCUCAGCACUCACUGCACAGUCUUGGGUUGAGGGCAUCAAUUCGUGUACAGCACUUGCUUCAUUCACUCCCGUUGCUGGAUUUUCUGAUGACUUUUGUCCACUGCCUGACUCUUUAUUAGCCGGUAGUUUGGGUUUGCCUUGCGAUUCACUGCAUGUGCCUCCGGAUGACGAGCCUGAUGUGGACUCGAAGGAAGGGGAACAGUUGCAUGCUAAAGCUGUUCGCUGGGUCAAGGAAGCAGCCCGAAUUUCACCUCACCUAUUCCCUUCUAACCACACUAACCCUUUUGCCCGAGCUUUCUUCUCUCGUGCUCUGGGGUCGGGGGUAACAGUUUACGAACCCAUAGGUGGGAUGUGUGCAGGUCUAGAGGCUUGCCUCCGCAACGGAUAUCGUGUAGACAGGUAUCUCUCUUCGGAGCCUGACUCAGAGGCAGCCAAGGUAAUUUCCGCGCGACUGGAUUGUCUCUGCGCAGAUAUCCCAGACAGUUUCUCCCGAGGCUUACCGGCGUGUAUGGUUGGAUCUCCCACUGGAUCCUAAGAAGGUGGACGAGCGAGCUCUUCUUGCAGCAGGAGCUUGUGAUGGUUCGCAGUGGUUUAUCUUCGCCAGUUGGUGCUGGCACGACGUCGGCAAGGAGCCUGGUUCUUUAGCGUCCGGCGUCUGCGUCACUGAUCACGUCUUAAAUAUCUUGCAUAUUUUGCAGCGCAUUCAGCGUCGCACAUCAGCUUUUAUGUUUGUUUGCGAGCAGCCUCAAGCAACUUGAUUGAACGCUUUUGGCAGCUCAGAAUCGCUUAGUUUCUUCAUUAGGUGAUCCGGUUGUAGUCGAUGCAGCUCGAUUUGGAUCUUUUGCACAUCGCAUGUCAGUUCACUGGACGAAUCUGGCCAGCAGCAGUCAGCUUGCAGCGGUUACGUCCGUCAUUCGCCCAGAGUCGGAGCAGCUACUGCAGAGUAUCCUGGCACCCGGCCGCACCGUCGCUAUGGCGCAGUCCACGGAGUCGGGGCCCUAUCUGCAGUGCAAUAAGCCAGGUGAGCCGGUCAGUGUUGCACCUAGCUUGAGUCGUCCAAAUGUACGGGCGUUGCAGGGGCUCGUCCAUGACUCUUUGUCUGGCAAUAACGGCACGUUGUCCUUGUCUGAAUGCGAACGUGCUAUGGGUUAUAAGCUUGGAGCCACUUCUGCACCAGGGGUGGACGAGCAAUCACGUCGUUAUUUCUUGGGCAUUGCGCCUGACGCAUUUUGCACGAGUGGCAUGCUUGCUAUUAUUCGUGUUUUGAGUAACGUUUCGUUGCAUGAAAUCGCAGCAGCAGCUUUGGUUUCUCAACCUCCUGAUCAAUCAACCGUUCACGGUCUUGCAUUUCCCAUUUCUAACUCGGAAGUAUUAGCUUCUUCGCCACUUGUCUUUGCUGCCGCUACUCAAGCUGAACAGGAAGAAGUCGCUGUUUCAGGCGAACGGUUUCCUGACAUCUGGCAGGAUGACGCGUGCAUGCAUUAUAUUCGCACGGGCGCGCACAUGCCUGGCAUCUUGCUCGAUGAGCAAUGUCGGGUAAUUCGCCGCACCAGGCAUUAUCGCAUGCUAGCGGAACUGGAGCGCGCUACUGGCAGGCAGGUUAAGGAGGUGCGUACAGAUCGUGGCGGGGAGUUCGUUAAUACUCGGACGAAGGCCUAUUUCGCUUCCAGGGGAAUUGUACACGGAACUACGGUAGGCUACACCCCUGAGCAGAACGGAGCUGCGGAACGUUUAAAUCGCACUCUUUUGGACAAGACUAGGGCUAUGCUAGUUGAGUCUGGACUGCCUAAAUCAUUAUGGGCGGAGGUGUUAGCGACAGCCAACUAUCUUAGGAAUGUGUCGCCAACUGCUGGGUCAACCGUCACUCCGUACGAAGCUUUCUUUAACGUUCGUCCGAACGUCAGUCACCUGCGAGUCUUUGGAUGUGUUGCCUACGUCCACGUACCCGACGUCAAGCGCGACAAGUUCGACCCGGUGAGCAGGCGUGGAAUACUUGUCGGAUACGGGAACGGUGGACAGUAUCGUGUACUAUACGAGGACGGCAUUAUUGCCAUAGUUUCUAACGUUCGUUUCAAUGAGUCUAAUGUCGGCCGGCGGCGUAAUGCCGGGGACUCCGAUUAUGAGUCCGAUGCCGACAAGGAGGAGGAGUUUCACACUAGUUUAUCUGGUGAGGGAUCGCUGCCUAGGGCUGGCGAAGGGACACCAGGUAGCACCGUCGGCGAGGGAUCGCCGCACUUGGGUGGCGAGGGGGUGCCGGCUGGGGCUGGACCUUCCAGCAGUGCGAAUGGGCAAGGAAUCAAUCAGCCUGAUGUGGAAAUGGCGGGAACUAGGUACCCAGUUAGAGAGCGUAAACGCCCUGGCGAAUGGUGGCGAAAUGAACCUGGUCGCACUGUCACUGGUCGCGUUAACGCUGCUUUCUCUGCUGGUAUUCCUGAGCCUAAUUCGUUUGCGGAAGCAAUGGCAAGUCCACAUGCAGACGACUGGCGGCGUGCGAUGGACGAGGAGAUCGCCGCCCAGAUGGCUAAUAGUACUUGGGAGCUGAAGAAGCCACCUCCUGGUACUCGUUUGUUGCCGUGUCGUUGGGUUUAUAAGGUUAAGUACAGCGAUGACGGCAGCGUGGAGCGAUUUAAGGCGCGUUUAGUUGCCAAGGGUUUCGAGCAACGCGAGGGGAUUGAUUAUGGGGAGUUGUUUGCCCCUACCUCUCGUGGUUCGUCAUUACGUGCUUUAUUAGCAGUUGCCGCAGCGCGGAACAUGACGGUGCAUCAGCUAGAUGUGUCUACUGCGUUCCUGAAUGGUGAGCUGAAGGAGGAGUUGUGGAUGGAGCAACCGCCUGGGUAUGCAUCCAGUGACCGGUCGCUUGCGUGCAAGCUGCAGAAGUCUUUACGGUUUGAAGCAGGCACCCCGUUGCUGGUAUGAAAAACUAUCAGCAGAGUUCGCCAAGUUGGGUCUUUAUCCUUCGAAGUCUGAUCCGGCGAUGUUCGUUAAGACUGACGAGCGUGGGGUUGUUAUUGCUUUGGUGCACGUAGAUGACACUAUUGUUGUGUCGGAAGACCCGGAAAUGGUCCAGGCAAUUAAAGCUGCAAUUGCGAAGGUCUUCAAGGUGCGCGACCUUGGAGAAGCGAAGGUGUUUUUGGGCAUGGAAAUUAGGAGGGAGAAGUCGGGUGAGAUAGUGUUGUCGCAGCAUAGGUAUAUUGCGCAGCUGUUGGAGCGUCAUAGGAUGAUUGACGCCAAGCCGAGGUCUACCCCUUUGCCUCCGGGCUUUAGGUACACUCCUAAGGGGGACGGAGAGGAGCUGCUGGGCAAUCCCACCGAGUAUAGGGCUUUGGUGGGAGAAUUGAACUAUCUGGCGACGAACACGCGGCCUGACAUUUCAUAUGCAUUGAGCGUUUUGUCCCGGCAUAUGGCCGCACCUACGAAGACUGCCAUGAACUUAGCAAUCGGCGUUCUGCGUUACCUGGCGGGGACUCGCGAACUAGGAUUGCGUUUUGGGGGUGUUGGCGACGUUGCUAUGUCCGGGUACAGUGAUUCGGACUGGGCAGGAGACCCAGUUACGCGGCGUUCUACGUCCGGUUACGUUUUCACUCUUAACGGGGCUGCGAUUAGCUGGAGCAGCCAACUUCAACGUACUGUGGCGGCUUCGUCGGUGGAGGCCGAGUAUCAAGCGACAGCAGCAGCUGUUCGUGAGGCUUUGUGGCUUCGCAAGCUGAUGGUUGAUUUGGGUUUGCCUGAGAGCGCUAUCAGAAUCCAAAUAGAUUCCCAGGGGGCGCUUAGCUUGGGAAACAACCCGAUUACGUCUGCUCGGUCGAAACACAUCGACGUGCAGCAUCACAUAGUACGUGAGCGAGUGAAUAGCGGUGAGGUGCAGUUGGAAUACUGCCCUACGGAGUGGAUGGUUGCGGAUGUGCUAACGAAGGCUCUGGGCGAGGUGAAGUUCAAACGUUGCCGAGAUGCAAUGGGCCUUGUGUGAAGUGUGCAGAUGAACUUGGUACUCGUUGGGAUACGGCCCGAGGGGGCGUGUUGAGGAAACAGUCCUCUCCCAACUCGUGUGGUUGUCGACCAGGGGAUUUGACCCCGGGUCUGCGCCUGACUAAUGGGGAAGACCUACCCCAGAACGUUAUGGGGCUACUGAUGCAUAUCCGAUAGCUAAGUGAUAGACAUUAGGGCACCGUCUGGACGGCGCAGUGAGAUCGCGGAAUGUACGUGCAGUUAGAUCGCGGAAUGUACGAGUUUUCCGCUAGCGCCAGUAUUUAGGGCGGUGACUGCGCCUAUUAGUUUAUCUCACUACGAUCGGUAUUCCUUAUAGGAAUCUCCUCAAGUCCUGCCGAACGCUAAUANNNNNNNNNNNNNNNNNNNNNNNNNNNNNNNNNNNNNNNNNNNNNNNNNNUGGCGAAUGGUGGCGAAAUGAACCUGGUCGCACUGUCACUGGUCGCGUUAACGCUGCUUUCUCUGCUGGUAUUCCUGAGCCUAAUUCGUUUGCGGAAGCAAUGGCAAGUCCACAUGCAGACGACUGGCGGCGUGCGAUGGACGAGGAGAUCGCCGCCCAGAUGGCUAAUAGUACUUGGGAGCUGAAGAAGCCACCUCCUGGUACUCGUUUGUUGCCGUGUCGUUGGGUUUAUAAGGUUAAGUACAGCGAUGACGGCAGCGUGGAGCGAUUUAAGGCGCGUUUAGUUGCCAAGGGUUUCGAGCAACGCGAGGGGAUUGAUUAUGGGGAGUUGUUUGCCCCUACCUCUCGUGGUUCGUCAUUACGUGCUUUAUUAGCAGUUGCCGCAGCGCGGAACAUGACGGUGCAUCAGCUAGAUGUGUCUACUGCGUUCCUGAAUGGUGAGCUGAAGGAGGAGUUGUGGAUGGAGCAACCGCCUGGGUAUGCAUCCAGUGACCGGUCGCUUGCGUGCAAGCUGCAGAAGUCUUUACGGUUUGAAGCAGGCACCCCGUUGCUGGUAUGAAAAACUAUCAGCAGAGUUCGCCAAGUUGGGUCUUUAUCCUUCGAAGUCUGAUCCGGCGAUGUUCGUUAAGACUGACGAGCGUGGGGUUGUUAUUGCUUUGGUGCACGUAGAUGACACUAUUGUUGUGUCGGAAGACCCGGAAAUGGUCCAGGCAAUUAAAGCUGCAAUUGCGAAGGUCUUCAAGGUGCGCGACCUUGGAGAAGCGAAGGUGUUUUUGGGCAUGGAAAUUAGGAGGGAGAAGUCGGGUGAGAUAGUGUUGUCGCAGCAUAGGUAUAUUGCGCAGCUGUUGGAGCGUCAUAGGAUGAUUGACGCCAAGCCGAGGUCUACCCCUUUGCCUCCGGGCUUUAGGUACACUCCUAAGGGGGACGGAGAGGAGCUGCUGGGCAAUCCCACCGAGUAUAGGGCUUUGGUGGGAGAAUUGAACUAUCUGGCGACGAACACGCGGCCUGACAUUUCAUAUGCAUUGAGCGUUUUGUCCCGGCAUAUGGCCGCACCUACGAAGACUGCCAUGAACUUAGCAAUCGGCGUUCUGCGUUACCUGGCGGGGACUCGCGAACUAGGAUUGCGUUUUGGGGGUGUUGGCGACGUUGCUAUGUCCGGGUACAGUGAUUCGGACUGGGCAGGAGACCCAGUUACGCGGCGUUCUACGUCCGGUUACGUUUUCACUCUUAACGGGGCUGCGAUUAGCUGGAGCAGCCAACUUCAACGUACUGUGGCGGCUUCGUCGGUGGAGGCCGAGUAUCAAGCGACAGCAGCAGCUGUUCGUGAGGCUUUGUGGCUUCGCAAGCUGAUGGUUGAUUUGGGUUUGCCUGAGAGCGCUAUCAGAAUCCAAAUAGAUUCCCAGGGGGCGCUUAGCUUGGGAAACAACCCGAUUACGUCUGCUCGGUCGAAACACAUCGACGUGCAGCAUCACAUAGUACGUGAGCGAGUGAAUAGCGGUGAGGUGCAGUUGGAAUACUGCCCUACGGAGUGGAUGGUUGCGGAUGUGCUAACGAAGGCUCUGGGCGAGGUGAAGUUCAAACGUUGCCGAGAUGCAAUGGGCCUUGUGUGAAGUGUGCAGAUGAACUUGGUACUCGUUGGGAUACGGCCCGAGGGGGCGUGUUGAGGAAACAGUCCUCUCCCAACUCGUGUGGUUGUCGACCAGGGGAUUUGACCCCGGGUCUGCGCCUGACUAAUGGGGAAGACCUACCCCAGAACGUUAUGGGGCUACUGAUGCAUAUCCGAUAGCUAAGUGAUAGACAUUAGGGCACCGUCUGGACGGCGCAGUGAGAUCGCGGAAUGUACGUGCAGUUAGAUCGCGGAAUGUACGAGUUUUCCGCUAGCGCCAGUAUUUAGGGCGGUGACUGCGCCUAUUAGUUUAUCUCACUACGAUCGGUAUUCCUUAUAGGAAUCUCCUCAAGUCCUGCCGAACGCUAAUAAUACUCUUUACAUUACUUGUAACAUUAUAUCGUGCUAAAUAUCUUCGCCACCGGCAAUCCUUCCGGAAUAACAAUCAGCGUUAGCCGUCACCGUCGCCAAUUCUUCAAUAGGUUAUGAGCCCCGUUUAGCGCCGACAGUUAUCACCCAAUUGUUAUUUCUAUCCCUCAUCAACAAUGGUUAAGGACAAGCUUGAUGAGUCGCUGGAUCUCAACAACUACUCUACCUGGCAAAUUCGGUUCAGCGCGUUGUGCAUGGAGCUUGGGCUUGAGCAAUCCCUGCUCGCCGAGCCGUGCAACGAGGAGCAAAUUCGACAGUCACGGAAGGUCAUUAAUCUGCUCAUCAAGAACGUCAAGGAUCAUCAUUUGCCGAUGUUUACCGGUGCUGCCAACGCGAAGAAGGCCUGGGACGCCUUGGGAUCUAUGCUUGCUGCCAACAACAACGCCCGCAAGGUGUCUCUACGUCAAGAAUUCAGCCGUUUUAAGAUGGUCGACGGCGAACCUCUUCCGAUGUACUUUGCGCGUGCAAGGCAGCUGCAAACAGAUUUAUUGGGAGUCGGCCACGUAGUUAACGACUCCGAGCUGGCGUACACCGUGCUAGUUGGUCUACCCAGUCGGUACAGCGUGGUGACGACUACAUUACUUAUGCGCGACGGCGAUUUGGACAUGGCGAGCGUCACAGCAAAGCUUCUCUCUAUCGAGACGGCUAACGGUGGGUCGGGCAAGCCUACCGAGUCGGCAGCCUUCGCGACUGUCGGCGGUUCGACGUUCGGCGCUUCUACUUCUGGUUAUGGUAGCCGGGGGCCGGCUAACAACAGCUCGGGACAUAGUCGGAAGCAAGUCAUCUGCUACUACUGUAAUAAACCUGGGCACGUGGUUAAGGAAUGCAGGCAGCUUAAGGCGCUGAAGCAGUCGUCAAAUUCUGGCUACAAGGGUGGCUACAGCAACAGUGGUAACGGAGGUAGUGGCAGCGGAGCUAGCGGCAGCAAGCCAGGAUCCGGUGGAUCAGCUAGGAGGCCAGGAGUUCCGCGGCAGGUAGCAUUCGUGGCAUACAACAGCAAUCGUCCGACGGAAUGGUUUCUGGACUCAGCCGCCACUCACCACAUAACGUAUGACCGCUCAGAACUUUUCAACAUGCGGUUGUUGGAGCCAUGGGAGCGCUUCAACAUCAUGGGCAUCAAGGGACAGUCUCUUCGGCCGACUGAAGUUGGCACGCUUAUGAUUCGCUCUAACGUCAACGAUAAACAGGCCAUCACUUUUAAGAAGGUCUACGUCGACGAGGAGGCCACCGCCAAAAUCCUAUCGGUCCGCAUCAUUGAUGAUCGCGGAGGCAGUGUGGUCUUCGGUGGCGGACAGGUGAAAGUAUACGUACAGAACCACUUGGUGCUGACUGGAAAGCGGGAUGGGGACUUGUAUCCCGUCUGCUACAGCAGUGGAGGUACUGGCGCUCUGAAGUGGACGCAGCGUGAAGACAACAGGAUACCUUCUGGUGGUGAUGCAGUGUGUGCUGCCGUGGGUAUCGGAGCUGAACGUGCAGCACUUUGGCACCGAAGGUAUGGCCACUUAGGAUACAGCAACCUUGAGGCGUUGCUGCGUCAUGAUAUGGUAACUGGGUUCGAUGUUGACCGACACAGCAUACAAUCGGUUCAGGAAUGACAGCAGAAAAAGCAGCAUUAAUGCGACCAGUAACAGUGCGACCAGGCUCGUUUCGCCAACACUCGCCAGGGUGUUUACGCUCUCUAACUGGGUACCGGGUCCCUGCCAUUUCCACAUCAGGCUGAUUGUUAUCUUGCACGUUCGCACUGCUGGAAGGUCCAGCCCCAGCCGGCGCCCCCUCGCCACCCAAAUGCGGCGAUCCCUCGCCGACGGUAUUGCCUGAUGUUCCUUCGCCAGCCCUAGGCAGCGACCCCUCACCACGCUAUUGAAGAAUUGGCGACGGUGACGGCUAACAAUGAUUGUUAUCUCGGAAGAAUUGCCGGUGGCGAAGAUACUUAGCACAAUAAAAUCUUACAAGUUAUGUAAAGAGUAUUAUUAGCAUUCGGCAGGACUUGAGGAGAUUCCUAUGAGGAAUACCGAUCGUAGUGAGAUAAACUAAUAGGCGCAGUCACCACCCUAAAUACCGGCGCUAGCGGAAAACUCGUACAUUCCGCGAUCUAAAUGCACGUACAUUCCGCGAUCUCACUGCGCCGUCCAGACGGUGCCCUAAUGUCUAUCACUUAGCUACCGGAUAUGCAUCGGUAGCCCCAUAAGGUUCCGGGGUAAGUCUUCCCCAUUAGUCAGACGCAGACCCGGGGUCAAAUCCCCAAGACCCAAAACAGGUCGACAACCACACGAGUUGGGAGAGGACCGUUUCCUCAACAGGCCCCCUCGGGCCGUAUCCCAACGAGUACCAAGGUCACCAGCACACUUCACACAAGGCCCAUAGCAUCUCGGCAACGUUUGAAUUUCACCUCGCCCAGAGCCUAUGUGAGCACAUCCGCAACCAUCCACUCCGUAGGGCAGUAUUCCAACUGCACCUCACUGCUAUUCACCCUCUCACACACUAUGUGAUGCUGCACGUCGAUGUGCUUUGACCGAGCAGACGUAAUCGGGUUAUUUCCUAAGCUUAGCGCCCCCUGGGAAUCUAUUUGGAUCUUGAUAGCGCUCUCAGCCAAACCCAAAUCAACCAUCAGCUUGCGAAGCCACAAAGCCUCACGAACAGCUGCCGCUGUCGCUUGAUACUCGGCCUCCACCGACGAAGCCGCCACAGUACGUUGAAGUUGGCUGCUCCAGCUAAUCGCAGCCCCAUGAAGAGUGAAAACGUAGCCGGAAGUAGAACGCCGCGUAACUGGGUCUCCUGCCCAGUCAGAAUCGCUAUACCCGGACAUAGCAACGUCGCCAACACCCCCAAAACGCAAUCCUAGUUCGCGAGUCCCCGCCAGGUAACGCAGAACGCCGAUUGCUAAGUUCAUGGCAGUCUUCGUAGGUGCGGCCAUAUGCCGGGACAAAACGCUCAAUGCAUAUGAAAUGUCAGGCCGCGUGUUCGUCGCCAGAUAGUUCAAUUCUCCCACCAAAGCCCUAUACUCGGUGGGAUUGCCCAGCAGCUCCUCUCCUUCCCCCUUAGGAGUGUGUACCUAAAGCCCGGAGGCAAAGGGGUAGACCUCGGCUUGGCGUCAAUCAUCCUAUGACGCUCCAACAGCUUAUUGAAGAAUUGGCGACGGUGACGGCUAACGCUGAUUGUUAUUCCGGAAGGAUUGCCGGUGGUGAAGAUGUUUAGCACGAUAAAAUGUUACAAGUAAUGUAAAGAGUAUUAUUAGCGUUCGGCAGGACUUGAGGAGAUUCCUAUAAGGAAUACCGAUCGUAGUGAGAUAAACUAAUAGGCGCAGUCACCGCCCUAAAUACCGGCGCUAGCGGAAAACUCGUACAUUCCGCGAUCUAACUGCACGUACAUUCCGCGAUCUCACUGCACCGUCCAGACGGUGCCCUAAUGUCUAUCACUUAGCUACCGGAUUUGCAUCGGUAGCUCCAUAAGGUUCUGGGGUAAGUCUUCCCCAUUAGUCAGGCGCAGACCCGGGGUCAAAUCCCCUGGUCGACAACCACACGAGUUGGAAGAGGACCGUUUCCUCAACACGCCCCCUCGGGCCGUAUCCCAACGAGUACCAAGUUCAUCUGCACACUUCACACAAGGCCCAUCGCAGCUCGGCAACGUUUGAACUUCACCUCGCCCAGAGCCUUCGUUUGCACAUCCGCAACCAUCCACUCCGUAGGGCAGUAUUCCAACUGCACCUCACCGCUAUUCACCCUCUCACGCACUAUGUGGUGCUGCACGUCGAUGUGUUUCGACCGAGCAGACGUAAUCGGGUUGUUUCCCAAGCUAAGCGCCCCCUGGGAGUCUAUCUGGAUUUUCACCGCGCUCUCAGGCAAGCCCAAAUCGUCCAUCAGCUUGCGAAGCCACAAAGCUUCACGAACAGCUGCCGCUGUAGCUUGAUACUCGGCUUCCACCGACGAAGCCGCCACAGUACGUUGAAGCUGGCUGCUCCAGCUAAUCGCAGCCCCAUUAAGAGUGAAAACGUAGCCAGAAGUAGAACGCCGCGUAACUGGGUCUCCUGCCCAGUCCGAAUCACUGUACCCGGACAUAGCAACGUCGCCAACACCCCCAAAACGCAAUCCUAGUUCGCAAGUCCCCGCCAGGUAACGCAGAACGCCGAUUGCUAAGUUCAUGGCAGUCUUCGUAGGUGCGGCCAUAUGCCGGGACAAAACGCUCAAUGCAUAUGAAAUGUCAGGCCGCGUGUUCGUCGCCAGAUAGUUCAAUUCUCCCACCAAAGCCCUAUACUCGGUGGGAUUGCCCAGCAGCUCCUCUCCGUCCCCCUUAGGAGUGUACCUAAAGCCCGGAGGCAAAGGGGUAGACCUCGGCUUGGCGUCAAUCAUCCUAUGACAUUCCAACAGCUGCGCAAUAUACCUAUGCUGCGACAACACUAUCUCACCCGANNNNNNNNNNNNNNNNNNNNNNNNNNNNNNNNNNNNNNNNNNNNNNNNNNAUGUAAAGAGUAUUAUUAGCGUUCGGCAGGACUUGAGGAGAUUCCUAUAAGGAAUACCGAUCGUAGUGAGAUAAACUAAUAGGCGCAGUCACCGCCCUAAAUACCGGCGCUAGCGGAAAACUCGUACAUUCCGCGAUCUAACUGCACGUACAUUCCGCGAUCUCACUGCACCGUCCAGACGGUGCCCUAAUGUCUAUCACUUAGCUACCGGAUUUGCAUCGGUAGCUCCAUAAGGUUCUGGGGUAAGUCUUCCCCAUUAGUCAGGCGCAGACCCGGGGUCAAAUCCCCUGGUCGACAACCACACGAGUUGGAAGAGGACCGUUUCCUCAACACGCCCCCUCGGGCCGUAUCCCAACGAGUACCAAGUUCAUCUGCACACUUCACACAAGGCCCAUCGCAGCUCGGCAACGUUUGAACUUCACCUCGCCCAGAGCCUUCGUUUGCACAUCCGCAACCAUCCACUCCGUAGGGCAGUAUUCCAACUGCACCUCACCGCUAUUCACCCUCUCACGCACUAUGUGGUGCUGCACGUCGAUGUGUUUCGACCGAGCAGACGUAAUCGGGUUGUUUCCCAAGCUAAGCGCCCCCUGGGAGUCUAUCUGGAUUUUCACCGCGCUCUCAGGCAAGCCCAAAUCGUCCAUCAGCUUGCGAAGCCACAAAGCUUCACGAACAGCUGCCGCUGUAGCUUGAUACUCGGCUUCCACCGACGAAGCCGCCACAGUACGUUGAAGCUGGCUGCUCCAGCUAAUCGCAGCCCCAUUAAGAGUGAAAACGUAGCCAGAAGUAGAACGCCGCGUAACUGGGUCUCCUGCCCAGUCCGAAUCACUGUACCCGGACAUAGCAACGUCGCCAACACCCCCAAAACGCAAUCCUAGUUCGCAAGUCCCCGCCAGGUAACGCAGAACGCCGAUUGCUAAGUUCAUGGCAGUCUUCGUAGGUGCGGCCAUAUGCCGGGACAAAACGCUCAAUGCAUAUGAAAUGUCAGGCCGCGUGUUCGUCGCCAGAUAGUUCAAUUCUCCCACCAAAGCCCUAUACUCGGUGGGAUUGCCCAGCAGCUCCUCUCCGUCCCCCUUAGGAGUGUACCUAAAGCCCGGAGGCAAAGGGGUAGACCUCGGCUUGGCGUCAAUCAUCCUAUGACAUUCCAACAGCUGCGCAAUAUACCUAUGCUGCGACAACACUAUCUCACCCGACUUCUCCCUCCUAAUUUCCAUGCCCCAAAACACCUUCGCUUCUCCAAGGUCGCGCACCUUGAAGACCUUCGCAAUUGCAGCUUUAAUUGCCCGGACCAUUUCCGGGUCUUCCGACGCAACAAUGGUAUCAUCUACGUGCACCAAAGCAAUAACAACCCCACGCUCGUCAGUCUUAACGAACAUCGCCGGAUCAGACUUCGAAGGAUAAAGACCCAACUUGGCGAACUCUGCUGAUAGUUUUUCAUACCAGCAACGGGGUGCCUGCUUUAAACCGUAAAUAGACUUCUGCAGCUUGCACGCAAGCGACCGGUCACUGGAUGCAUACCCAGGCGGUUGCUCCAUCCACAACUCCUCCUUCAGCUCACCAUUCAGGAACGCAGUAGACACAUCUAGCUGAUGCACCGUCAUGUUCUGCGCUGCGGCAACUGCUAAUAAAGCACGUAAUGACGAACCACGAGAGGUGGGGGCAAACAACUCCCCAUAAUCAAUCCCCUCGUGUUGCUCGAAACCCUUGGCAACUAAACGCGCCUUAAAACGCUCCACGCUGCCGUCAUCGCUGUACUUAACCUUAUAUACCCAACGACACGGCAACAAACGAGUACCAGGAGGUGGCUUCGUCAGCUCCCAAGUACUAUUAGCCAUCUGGGCGGCGAUCUCCUCGUCCAUCGCACGCCGCCAGUCGUCUGCAUGUGGACUCGCAAUGGCUUCCGCAAAAGAAUUCGGUUCGGGAAUACCAGCAGAGAAAGCAGCAUUAACGCGACCAGUGACAGUGCGACCAGGUUCGUUUCGCCACCAUUCGCCAGGGCGUUUACGCUCUCUAACUGGAUACCUAGUUCCCGCCAUUUCCACAUCAGGCUGAUUGAUUCCUUGCCCAUUCGCACUGCUGGAAGGUCCAGCCCCAGCCGGCGCCCCCUCGCCACCCAAAUGCGGCGAUCCCUCGCCGACGGUGCUACCUGGUGUCCCUUCGCCAGCCCUAGGCAGCGAUCCCUCACCAGAUAAACUAGUGCGAAACUCCUCCUCCUUGUCGGCAUCGGACUCAUAAUCGGAGUCCCCGGCAUUACGCCGCCGGCCGACGUUAGAUUCAUCAAAACAAACGUUGGAAACUACGGCAAUAAUGCCGUCCUCGUAUAAUACACGAUACUGUCCACCGUUCCCGUAUCCGACAAGUAUUCCACGCCUGCUCACCGGGUCGAACUUGUCGCGCUUGACGUCGGGUACGUGGACGUAGGCAACGCAUCCAAAGACUCGCAAGUGACUGACAUUCGGACGAACGUUAAAGAAAGCUUCCUACGGAGUGACGGUUGACCCAGCAGUUGGCGACACAUUCCUAAGAUAGUUGGCUGUCGCUAACGCCUCUGCCCAUAAUGAUUUAGGCAGUCCAGACUCAACGAGCAUAGCCCUAGUCUUGUCCAAAAGAGUGCGAUUUAAACGUUCCGCAGCUCCGUUCUGCUCAGGGGUGUAGCCUACCGUAGUUCCGUGUACAAUACCCCUGGAAGCAAAAUAGGCCUUCGUGCGAGUAUUAACGAACUCCCCGCCACGAUCCGUACGCACCUCCUUAACCUGCCUGCCAGAAGCGUGCUCCAGUUCCGCUAUCAUAACCACCAUCUUCUGGUAGACCUCCUCCUUGGUCGCUGUAAACACAGCAGCUGAAAGACCAGUAUGGUCGUCAAGCAGAGUUGUCACAUAACGCGAACCACUAGGUGAAGGUUCAGGCAUAGGUCCACACACAUCCAUGUGAAUGAGUGCGAGAGGCUGCGCUGCCUUAUGCCCAGAUAACGGAAAAGGACCACGUGUAUGCUUUGCAAAGACGCAAGUCUCACACACACACACGCUGGCUGAUUGUAUGCUGUGUCGGUCAACAUCAAAACCAGCUACCAUAUCAUGACGCAGCAGCGCCUCAAGGUUGCUGUAUCCUAAGUGGCCAUACCUUCGGUGCCAAAGUGCUGCACGUUCAGCUCCGAUACCCACGGCAGCACACACUGCAUCACCACCAGAAGGUAUCCUGUUGUCUUCACGCUGCGUCCUCUUCAGAGCUCCCGUACCUCCACUGCUGUAGCAGACGGGAUACAAGUCCCCAUCCUGCUUUCCAGUCAGCACCAAGUGGUUCUGUACGUAUACUUUCGCCUGUCCGCCGCCGAAGACCACACUGCCUCCACGAUCAUCAAUGAUGCGGACCGAUAUGAUUUUGGCGGUGGCCUCCUCGUCAACGUAGACCUUCUUGAAAGUGAUGGCCUGUUUAUCGUUGACGUUAGACCGAAUCGUAAGCGUGCCAACUUCAGUCGGUCGAAGAGACUGUCCCUUGAUGCCCAUGAUGUUGAAGCACUCCCACGGCUCCAACAACCGCACGUUGAAAAGUUCUGAGCGGUCAUACGUUAUGUGGUGAGUGGCGGCUGAGUCCAGAAACCAUUCCGUCGGACGCUCGCUGUUGUAUGCUACGAACGCUACCUGCCGCGGAACUCCUGGCCCCCUAGCUGAUCCACCGGAUCCUGGCUUGCUGCCGCUAGCUCCGCUGCCACUACCUCUGUUACCACUGUUGUUGUACCCACCCUUAUAGCCAGAAUUUGACGACUGCUUCAGCACUUUAAGCUGCCUGCAGUCCUUUUGUAGCAGGCUACAUUUCCCUUAGAAUAUUUUAACGAUUACUUUUAACAAUAACUGUUAAUUUGUUAAACGAUCUGACUCAAGUUUCGUACAUGUUCCGAGUUUCGUCACAUGUCGCGAACUGGGCAGUUGUUCGUAAGCGAAUCUAACGGGCUGGGGCCCCGGGCCCCACCAACAUUAUCCUAGUACGGCAAGGUCCGUAGUAGAGAUUAUCCGGCAGGUAGGCCGAGAUAUAAGCUACCCGGGCGGGGUGUUCUGGCCAGACACUGACGUAUCACAUUACUAGGUGUUCGGAGUUCAAGACUCCGCUGCCGCCGUCUCUAACCGUUACGUACACAUCUUAUGUACGCUAGUGCUUGCCGCUUGGUUGGACUUCUUCCUACAUCGACGAGGACUAAUAACUCCACGCUUCCGCUCUGUCAGUCCUCCCGUCAGGUGAGCGACUGCUACACCUUUACCACGUGCCCAGGUUUAUUACAGUAGUAGCAGAUGACUUGCUUCCGACUGUGUCCCGAGCUGUUGUUAGCCGGCCCCCGGCUACCAUAACCAGAAGUAGAAGCGCCGAACGUCGAACCGCCGACAGACGCGAAGGCUGCCGACUCGGUAGGCUUGCCCGACCUACCGUUAGCCGUCUCGAUAGAGAGAAGCUUUGCUGUGACGCUCGCCAUGUCCAAAUCGCCGUCGCGCAUUAGUAAUGUAGUCGUCACCACGCUGUACCGACUGGGUAGACCAACUAGGACGGUGUACGCCAGCUCGGAGUCGUUGAUUACGUGGCCGACUCCCAAUAAAUCCGUUUGCAGCUGUCUUGCACGCGCAAAGUACAUCGGGAGAGGUUCACCGUCGACCAUCUUAAAACGGCUGAAUUCUUGACGUAGAGACACCUUGCGGGCGUUGUUGUUGGCAGCAAACAUAGAUCCCAAGGCGUCCCAGGCCUUCUUCGCGUUGGCAGCACUGGUAACCAUCGGCAAAUGAUGAUCCUUGACGUUCUUGAUGAGCAGAUUGAUGACCUUCCGUGAUUGUCGAAUCUGCUCCUCGUUGCACGGCUCGGCGAGCAGGGAUUGCUCAAGCCCAAGCUCCAUGCACAUCGCGCUAAACCUGAUUUGCCAGGUGGAGUAGUUGUGGAGGUCCAGCGGCUCAUCAAGCUUAUCCUUGACCAUUGUCGAUAAGGGAUAGAAAUAACAAUCGGACGAUAGCUGUCGGCGCUACUCGGGGCUCAUAACCUAUUGAAGAAUUGGCGACGGUGACGGCUAACGCAGAUUGUUAUCUCGGAAGAAUUGCCGGCGGCGUGUUAAGACCAGCAAAGCGCCGGACCCCCAUUGGGUCCUAUUACUGUGGCUACCAUUCACUGGUAUAUGAGUGUCGGUCAUUUCCAACACGGCGAAGAUAUUUAGCACGAUAAAAUGUUACAAGUUAUGUAAAGAGUAUUAUUAGCGUUCGGCAGGACUUGAGGAGAUUCCUUUGAGGAAUACCGAUCGUAGUGAGAUAAACAAAUAAGCGCAGUCACCGCCCUAAAUACCGGCGCUAGCGGAAAACUCGUACAUUCCGCGAUCUAACUGCACGUACAUUCCGCGAUCUCACUGCGCCGUCCUGACGGUGCCCUAAUGUCUAUCACUUAGCUACCGGUUAUACAUCGGUAGCCCCAUAACGUUCUGGGGUAAGUCUUCCCCAUUAGUCAGGCGCAGACCCGGGGUCAAAUCCCCUGGUCGACAACCACACGAGUUGGGAGAGGACCGUUUCCUCAACACCACCACCAUCACAGGUCGAACCUGCUGCCCCAGGAGGGGGAGGAGGGCGGCCUGGCGUGUCCGGCAGUCGUACGGCACCGCUGCUGUUGCCGUCGCUGGAGAAGUCGCCAAGUCGCCGAAAAGGCUCACAGCUGGCGGCGACGGCACGUCCUCACUGUACGGCAGCGCCCGUGUAGCCACGGCGGCGGCGCCUUCCGCCGCUGAUCGCGCUACUUGGGCGCCACAGGGUGGUGGCGGCUGCCGUCUGAAUGGCUGCGUGAUGGAAAGGAUGGUAUCAUAGCGGGAUGCCGUGAUGUCCGGGAAGCCGAGCCAGAGAGGGUGUCUCCUGGGCUUCGACUCCGCCUCCGCCAGGAUCUGGGCACGGAGGCUGCAGCGGCAGCGGAGGCGCGAGGCGGCGGAGAUGAUGAAGCUCGGAGAAGGGCAUUACCCUUGGCGGUGGCGACGGAGGCGGCGGAGAUGAUGAAGACGACGGAGGCAGUGUGUUGGAAAUGACCGACACUCAUAUACCAGUGAAAUGUAGCACAGUAAUAGGACCCAACGGGGAUCCGGCGCUUUGCUGGUCUUAACACAGUGGUGCCGAAGAGGAAGUGGAGCCGAGUGCUGAAGCUCCCGCCGGCGGUGGGGUCGCCGCCGCCGCCACUGCCUCAGCCGCCGCCACACCACCCGCCAAUGCAUUCCGCAGCGGCAACCAGUCGGGCAGGUCGUUGGGCGGCACUGGCAAAGGUAACAAGUUCCGGGAGAAGUACGGCACCAUGGCGGCAGCCACGGGGCUUCGUACGGCACCUGGUCGCAGCGGCCGCCCCGCGCAGACGGCACCAGCGACCCAUAGGGCGCAGAUGCGCGCGGCGGCAGUGUUGGCGGCAGCGGCGGCGGUAACUCCGGCGCUCGCGUGUUGUCAACCGUCAUCGCGGGAAGCGCAGGCCACAUCAGCGGCAACGGUGUUGCGUCGCCGUACGUCCCACGUGGAUCAAUCUCAGCCCGGUUGGCGUCACCCAAGCGGCCCAGAGGGGAUUUCGGUAGUUACGGCAGCGGCAGCGGCGGCGGCGGUGGCGGCGGUGGCGGCUUGGCCAGCGGCGGCAGCUUCAGUGAGGGGGCUUUCGCCAGCGGCAUGAUCGUCCUUGGCGGUAAUGGCGACUCGGCGGAGAGGUCCAAGCUGCCACCAGUGUCGGAAAUCCCUAUGCCGUACUUUAUGAUAUGCCGUUGAGCUCCGAUCGGAUAUGAAAGGGCUGCGGGGCUAAGCAAGCCAUAUGGCUUCUACCGCCGCCGCCUAUGGGCCAAGGACGCCAUAUAUAUGGGCCAAGGACCGGCAGCGGAGCAGCGGCAGCCGACGCCGCCGUCACUGUCACCGUCGCCGUCGCCGCCGCCGCCGCCACGCUCUGCUUCUCCGUUCCGCGGGUCGCUGUCACGCGACGACUCCAUGUCGCCUUGCAGCCAAGGUCAGGUCUCCGCCGCCGCCAGCUCGGUGAGUACGAACUCCAGUCCCGAGCACCACGCUGAUCGUGCAGGGAGCCCGACUCCGUUGUUGAUGUCGUCGGGCCGCCCGGGGACUCGCAUCCCGGUGGUAGAUCCCCGUAGCCCAGUCGGCAGUAGCAACCGGAAUUCCAGCAGGCUCAUGUUCAGGCACAGCCACAGCUACUGCCACAGCUACAGCCGGGGCCGCCGCCGUCGCCGUCCCGCAAAUCGCCUCCGUCCUCCGCAGAAGCACUACAGCCGGUACCAGUAGUGGCGGCAGCAGCAGGAGGCCAGACGGCGGCUGCAGCAGUAGCAGGGGAGGCGGCGCGCUGCCGUCGCCUUUCUCCAGGGGGGGCCAGCGGGUGGUGGCAUGGUAGGCAGCAGCAGCGGCGGCGGCGGCGGCGGCGGCGGUGCAAGCGCCGGUGGCGGGGACGGCAGUAGCAACCGGAAUUCCUUAUGCCUGGGGCCGGGAGCGGAAGGAGGCGGCCAACGAGGUUAGAGUUUUGAGGUGUCAUACUCUAGUGCUCACGGAUUGGACGAGCUUAGUAACUUGUAGAUCAUCCGGACAGGGCAACAGCAUCAAUUUCGACAUUUCCCUAAACAUCCAACCCUGACAUCAAUGUGAUGAACAGCGCCAAGAAAUAUGGUCGUCAUAAGGUCGUCAGAUGAAGAUAAUAUUUCGCAACGAGAGUAUUUUUUAAGGAGAUACUCCACGAAAUUUAGUGAUUUACAAAGUCUUGUCGUGUCGAAGCCUAAUGUUGUGGCGCGGUGCGGUGUGGUGUGCCAUUGGCGUGUUUGUGUGUGUAUGUAUGUGUGGGUGGGGGAGAGGUGGUGACUUGGUGAGAUGGAAACGAAGGGGGAAGGAUAAGGGAGUGGGGGGGGGGGAAAUAGCCGCGUUAGGGAUGGAGGCGGUGGAAGAGGAGAGGAGAGAGCCAUUCAAAAAGGGAGGAGGUGGGUUUUAGGGGAUCACUGAACCCAGACAUGGACAGGCCUAGACGGCAUACAGCAGUAGCAAUGAUAAUUAUGACAUAAUACAUUACAUAUAUACUGCUUUUGUACUUAAAAUCCUUGCCUGCUUACCCGCCGCCGCCCCUCCAUAACUCCAUUCCUUUGCUCAUCUUCCCCCCCAGCUCCCUUCAGCAUGUGGUCGGGUGCGGCCGUCUCCACCCUCUCCGCCUUCUCACAAACCGUGAGGUCGCUUCCGAGCUGCCAUCCAAGUCCUCACGGCGCCGCCAGGGCCCAACACCCGCCCGGGUUGUCAAGCGGCGGCGGCGGCGGCGGCGGGGGCGGCGGGGGCGGCGGGGGCGGAUCUCACAGGCAGUUGCUGAUGUCAAUGUCGUCGAUCUCGUCCACUGCUACCGCCGCCCCCUCUCCCGCCGCCGUCGCCACGCAGUCGCCGCCAGCACCGCCGACAACUCCCGUACAGCUAUCACCGCCGACAGACGCCACGGCGGAAGGCGUUACAGUGAACGGUGAAGUACGGGACGGAUGCGGCUGCAAUCGGGUGGUGCAGCCGCCGCUGCCGCCAUCGGGCCUGGCGCCGGUAGAUGCGGCGGUAAUGGCGGUAAUGGCGGUAAUGGCAGCCAGACCAACGAACCAGCUGCCGUACGCACCGGUCGCGACGCAGGUUGAAGCUCCACCCCGGGGGCUUGUCGAAGGCCUUGCACACCCAGCAAACGUAAGCGGCUUUGGUGGCGACAGUAUCACAUCGCGACGAACGACAGUUGGCGUCACAGCCCUGGAUGCUGACACCGUACCGCAGAUUCCCAGCACCGGCAGCGGGUACGAUGUCUGCGCCCCUGUUUAUGUGCCGUACGGUUGAGAGAUGGGGCUCAGGUGAGGUGGUGCAAGAAGCGCCACUGUUGGCAGCGGCAGUAGCGGUGUCAGUGCAAGCGGCAACAACGGCGGCGGUGGCAGUAUCACUCUGGGUAACAGGACGCUGUCGUGGGCCUUACGCACCGCGCCAGCGGGGUGGGAUUCCACGUUUUCCCGUACGGGAUCGUCUCCUGAUGGCGGCAGCCGCCGCCACCGCGGCAGCGGCGGCGGGUGCGGCAGGGUCGCUGCCAGCACCGGCAUCGAGGGCGGCACCGAAACCUUGGAAGUAAACAGCGGUGCUCCCGUCGGCCGUACGGCAGAUAGGCGCAUGGGACGAGCUGCUGCUGCGGCGGCUGCUGGCGUGGAGGCUGCGUUACCCAGACCCGAGUUCAUGUUCGGCGAACCUAGGUCCUUGCAUUCAAGGAGGUGCUCGUCCAUGGCCGUUGUGGUAAGAACCGUUAGGGGUAACGGCCACGUGAUAGUAAUGGCAGUUAGAAUCGUUGAUUACGACGUGGAAGUUCAUCUUGCACAGCCUUAGUAAAAUUCAUUCUCCUUCAGGACGUUUCUUUCCUCACUCUAAACCCUAAAACCUCAAAGCCACAAGUCCCUAAAACCCUAAAAUCCUAACAUUCACACCGCAGGUUGCUGCCGGGGCUGGGUCAGACACCAGCAACGCAGCAGCAACGACGCCACCAGCCGUACAUUUGCAGUACGAAAACUCCCUCGGCGUGGGAACACCCAUACCCGCCGCUGACAUCACUCGUACGGCGGCGCUACCGUACAUGUCCAUCACCUCAACCGGGGACCCGGAAUCACCAUUUCGCGCCACAAUGGCCGCCGUGAGUACGGCAUCAUCGCCGAUCCCGUCACCGAUCCCGUCGCCGUCGGCAGCGACGGCGGCGACGGUGGCGUCAAUCAGAGUCCCCCCGACCUCGGAGACCGUCAGCAUGGCCGUGGGCUUUCCAGGGUGGUCGCGAGGGCGAUGGGGGAGCAAAGGAAUGCCGCCAACAUGGUACGGCAAUGCCGCAUCCCCCGCUGCCGCUGACAACUCCCGCCGCCGCUGCCACCCUUUCCAUUCCUUCCGGUGGCGGAGCGUUCACCCCAUCGUCUCCGUCAGGCCUGCAGCGAUCCAUACACUCACGAUCUGCUGAGACAUCCUCGAGGAUGACAUCAUGCUGUACAAGUAGCGGCGGCGGCUUCGUCGGGGCCAAUCUUGUGCUAAGGCACACAGUUUUCAGCCUGCACCAAACAACCACUAGCAGCAGGAAAACGGGCCACGUCUGGCCUCAGUGCCCUGUGUCGAGAUAAGAAAUUUAGUACCCCUAAGCUAAGCUGUGCAUGUUCAUCUAUAGAGAUAACGCGCUCGUUGUGCCAGUAUUUUCGUAUGGGGCGAAGUUUGGGUACCUGGUUUUAUUGAUGUGAAGAGCGCAAUUGUGAACCCUAUGGAGGAGCAGUGCAUGUAUUGUGCUAAGGUUCUGGAACACAGUUGUCAAGUCGCCAGGGACACUGCGCCACCAGGCCUUCAUUGCCGACCUUGAGCUGGCUCUGGGGGGUGUUGCUGAGUGCUGAACGAGCAAGGUCCUAGCUUUCCCCCCAGCCAGUCUGCAUGGUGACGAUCUCAUAGCGCAUGACGCCACCGUUAGGUUGCCAGUGGGAAGCAUACCAUUGCCCCCGGGAGAUCCCAGGAUCGAUACCCAUUAGGGUCUAAGUCCUUCCAAUGGUGGAAGGCUUUGCGCCCCUAGUUGAUGGACGGUGGUGACCUGGGAUAAAGUUAACCUGCGAGCCGACCAGGAACGGAGUUGGGCCGCUGUCGACCCGGCAGAUUCCGUUGGAUGCUGGUGGUGGGUGCGGAACCUGAGUGAUCCACUGAGAAGUUGACUAGGGUGACUGGAUGAGGGUGCCCUGAUAUACCGGGGAAGGCAGGGUUUCGCAGGGUAGCUGCCACGGGCGAAGAUACACCCCCCUGUUUCACACAUCAUACACAUAAUACGCAGCAUAAGUGGCUGGCCCACGCAGAAACCGCCAUGCCCCAACGUUUGCAUCCAGUGCUUAUGCAUUUCUGGUUAGGCUGUUGGGAGUUAGAGAUUAACUGGCCUAACUGCCGUGAGUGCACAGUGUGCACCUGCAGGCUUUGUGACUGCGGGGUGGUUGAAGACGAAAUGCAUGUCUUUGUGGAAUGCCCGGCGUACAAUACAUGGGCUAAGUACGAGCGUGACCUCGCGUUUCAAGGGCGCGAUUGUGCAUGAUUAUAUUUAUGGACCCCCGCACUUGUGUGGAACUUGUAACUUAAAAGGGCUGAAGUCAUGUUCCCAGUGUCGAUGAGAAUGGAGGCAUCAGACUGGCACUCUUUACCUUGAAACCUCAUAGUCAAACCCUUAGGAACGGAGAAAGGUGAAGGAGGGACGCUUCCCUAUCGCAGCAACAACAUCAAACAGUGUGGUACAUAUUUCGGAAGUGCAAAGUAUGCGAGUUGAAGGGAUGAGUGCAGAAGUUCGUCUUUGUGUUACAAGAUUGACAAGGCUUGGCAGUUAGAGCAGCAAAGACAGCAGCAUCCUGAUGAUGCAUGGGUUGCACUAAUGACAAAGUCUGCAUAAGCCGAGCAAACUUGCCACUUGCUGAGGUGAUGCUCACACACACAAACGAAAAUCCUCCCUACCCGCAAUAUGACCCAUUGUGCAAUGCUCUGCAGGAAGUCCCCGCCUCCUCAUUUUAGUCAUGAUCCUAUCCGACCAAUAAGCGGGUAUCGUUCACAUGGCCAACAGCCAUGUGAAACACAAAACCCAAAUCUACAGCAAAAGCAAACAGUUGGGAAGCCUGCCAUAAUGAAGCGUCCUCUUCUGCCACUGACCAACAUAGCUUGGUUAUUGGCACGGGCUCCACAACAAUAAUGUGGAGAGGAGACCCUGCACAAGUACGGAUGAAACGGUUAACUAUGUGGAUUCCAACGAUUAACGGUUGCAUUUAAGCGUGAACAGCAGUUUAACCCCUAAGCUUGCGGCCCAUGCUUACCGUGCACGAUACCGUGCUGAGGCGCCUCAUGUACGUUGCAGCCUCGUGCCAAGCUCCACUUGUGUUCCGAAUCACGCUAGGCAACCCCCCAAAUGCAAACCCCCGAACCGCAUUGUUCCAGGUAAACCCCCAAUAAUCAUCGGUCCAUGCAAAACCAUGAACCAUGUUAUGCCGGGUAACCCCCACGAAAACAACAGUCCAUGCAAACCCCUGAACCACAUUGUGCCUGGUAACCCCCCAAUUAUCAUCGGUCCAUGCAAAACCAUGAACCGCGUUGUGCCAGGUAGCCCCUGCGAAAAUAACGGUCCAUGCAAACCCCCAAACCACAUUGUGCCAGGUAACCCCCGCGAAAACAAUGGUCCAUGCAAACCCCCAAACCACAUUGUGCCAGGUAACCCCCGCGAAAACAAUGGUCCAUGCAAACCCCCGAACCACAUUGUGCCAGGUAACCCCCCAAAAGCAUCGGUCCAUGCAAACCCCCAAACCACAUUGUGCUUGGUAACCCCCCAAAAGCAUCGGCCCAUGCAAACCCCCGAACCGUGUUGUGCCAGGUAACCCACGUGAAAAUAACGGUCCAUGCAAACCCCCAAACCGCAUUGUGCCUGGUAACCCCCAAAAAGCAUCGGUCCAUGCAAACACACGAGCCACAUUGUGCCAGGUUACCCCCGUGAAAAUAACGGUCCAUGCAAACCCCCGAACCGCAUUGUGCUUGGUAACCCCCCAAAAGCAUCGGCCCAUGCAAACCCCCGAACCGUGUUGUGCCAGGUAACCCACGUGAAAAUAACGGUCCAUGCAAACCCCCAAACCGCAUUGUGCCUGGUAACCCCCAAAAAGCAUCGGUCCAUGCAAACACACGAGCCACAUUGUGCUUGGUAACCCCCCAAAAGCAUCGGCCCAUGCAAACCCCCGAACCGUGUUGUGCCAGGUAACCCACGUGAAAAUAACGGUCCAUGCAAACCCCCAAACCGCAUUGUGCCUGGUAACCCCCAAAAAGCAUCGGUCCAUGCAAACACACGAGCCACAUUGUGCUUGGUAACCCCCCAAAAGCAUCGGCCCAUGCAAACCCCCGAACCGUGUUGUGCCAGGUAACCCACGUGAAAAUAACGGUCCAUGCAAACCCCCAAACCGCAUUGUGCCUGGUAACCCCCAAAAAGCAUCGGUCCAUGCAAACACACGAGCCACAUUGUGCCAGGUUACCCCCGUGAAAAUAACGGUCCAUGCAAACCCCCGAACCGCAUUGUGCCUGGUAACCCCCCAAUUAUCAUGGGUCCAUGCAAAACCAUGAACUGCGUUGUGCCAGGUAACCCCGCGAAAAUAACGGUCCAUGCAAACCCCCAAACCGCAUUGUACCUGGUAACCCCAUCAUGCUACUGCAGGUUUUAUUUGAAACCCUUGCACCCGUACCGCACCGUACAUUACUGUAAGGAACCGCACCAUACCGUGUGGCAUUCAUAUCCGCGGUACCGUGGCAGCAGUUGCCGGAAGGCGUCAUUGUGGAGCGAUAGCACGGCAUCCAUUACCGCGACGGGCAGCGUUUCCCACAACGAGGUCAUUAAACACAGGCACAUACUGAGAUACACAGCAAUCAUGCUUGGAUGGUGGCUAGCAAUGCUAAUCCGGACUUUCUUUUAGGGCUGGACACCUUUCCUUAAGGGGUCUGCUCCGCUGUGCUUUGCUACUGUUGCUCCUGCUGUUGCUGCUGCUGCCACCAACCGCCAGCCAAGUACGACUGCGUAAUCACGCGAUACACGGUGCAGGAAAACACAAUCGGCACAGCGAUACGAAACAUGUAGUACACGCCACGAUACGGCACGGAUCCAUAUCGCCGACUUACCGCAUGUAUCAUCUGGAGGGUGCUUGCACCGUAGAUACCGCCAAGCGCCGCCGGUCAACAGGAGGGUACACGGUUCGGGGAACAGGUGGGGCGGGGUGGGAGGGGAUGAUAUCGUUUGCUUUGCUACUGCUUUGCUGCUACUGCUGCUGUCGCAGCAGACCGCCAGGCAGACAUGAUUGCACGCUCCCAACAAAAUGCGGAACUGAAAACCCUAAACAGUACAACCAAUCGCAAAGCACGAGGUAUCUUGAAAUCCAGGGGCUCAUGCAAGGACUGCAGCUCUUGUAGCGCCCAAUCGUUGCGCCCUCGGCAUUGGUGUUGAUAUACGGCCGCCGCGCAGCCAUAAGGACGCACCAGAGGCAGGCGGGAGGACGGGGCAGGAGGAUGGGCGGAGGGGAAGGAAUAAUCAGCAAGGUACGAUGAGGUGGUUCAUGAGGCCGUCUUGUUUGGGUUCACGGGCGAAAAGACAUGCAUAAAAUCUUAUCCAUAAUAGCUCACGCAUUCCUACAGGUGUUUGCUUUGCCUUGUAACGAUCACUGUCGCUGCUGCUGCUGCCGCUUCUGCUGCCAGCCGCCAGCCGAACACGAUAGCAAGGAAACGCCCAACAUGGCACCGGACAAUACACCAGGCGCUGCACAGGGUACGACGAACUGCACUGUGAAGUGCAGUACAGCACGCAACGGCACUGGACGCAACGCCUACGUACCCCAUCAAAGCCCACACUAAAGGUUUUCGAAAUCAUCAGUUCCUGCUUAACCUGUUUGCUUUGAACGCAUAGGCCCAGCAUGUCAUCUCCCCGUCGCUCCAUGUCACCGAGCCCUAACAUGGGACGAGACACGGACGAGACACGGAACAUCGCACGCUGAAAGGUAGAUGUAAUUGUCGUCCUGCUCACAGCAUUCAUCACGCAGAUCUUCCAGUUUCUGCCUGUAAGCGGGCAAACAGAAGCAAUUGUGAGGACAAACUUUGCGAUGUAGUCUUCCUGGUGCUGCUAUCCAAUUGCCUGACCCUUAAAUGCAUCAAAACAUUUCAUAGCUCAUGCAUUCUGGNNNNNNNNNNNNNNNNNNNNNNNNNNNNNNNNNNNNNNNNNNNNNNNNNNGCCCUCCUUGCCUCUACGGUAUAUGUUUAAAUUUGAAACUGUAGUCAGCCCAACCUUACAGCAACGAUACCGGCAGCGUCGCUGCGCAGCUCCGUUCUCCGUGUAUUUUUCUCCGGGCAGCCUGAGUUGUGGUGCAUCCUAUAUAUACGCUUAAUACGGUACUAGGAGUAAGUAGCAUCUACGUAGAAACGGGCCCGGAGCCCAGAAAUGGAACGGGUCGCUGACGUCCCAGCACACGGCGAGUCCAAUCGGGACCCUUCUGACUUUGCUCUUACCAAUAAGAAUCUUGUUUGUUGCUACGUGUGCCGCCUAAUCAAGUCGCGCAACCAGGUGCGGUGUUUGUUGCGGUGGAGCGUUGAGGACGCUGCUCAGCCGAUUCCCUUUUGCAGUUCCAUGAUUCGGGUUGUGACAACUGUAAAUAAAAUCUUUUUGGACCUAGCAUUUCAUUUGAAGACUACACGACACCAAACUUCUCGGGGUAAGGACUGAGGCUUUUAAACGAUUCGGGGACUUUGUUCUUACGGGCGAGGAUGGAGGCAGUGAGAGGAUUCAUAAGCACAUGGCCUAACAAUGUUGCUUGCAGAAUGAUCGCUUAAUACGGUUUGUUAUACUCGUAAAGUUGUGUCUUCAGUAAUCUCUUCCUACCCCAUGUGCACGUGUAAUUUACGUGAUGAUGGUUCGAAUUCUCUAUGUGCCGUACACAGACAUCGCCUCCUUCACCAGCAUGUGUGGUCAGGUUCCGCCCCACCGAGUCAUGGCGUUCCUCAACGACCUCUUCACCACUUUUGACCAGCUGGUGGGGAAGCAUCAAGUUUACAAGGUCGAGACCAUCGGAGGUACGGCAUUGUACAUUGAUCUCUAUUAUGGACCCUAAGGCCAGNNNNNNNNNNNNNNNNNNNNNNNNNNNNNNNNNNNNNNNNNNNNNNNNNNNUUCGACGCCAGGAGAAGCCCCAAGGGCCCACACACCAAAGCAUCCGCCACCCACCAAUUAAAGUAAUUUCUACGUGCUGCACAAUACGCACCCGAAAAUCCAAUGUACUCCCCGGGCUGAGGGACAACCUCGGCAGGUUUUCUGGUACGACAGUCAACCCCCAACUGCAACAAUCGCCUCGGACCUCUUCCAAUAGCUGAAUUCGUGUCGGUAUUCUUUAUUUAUGCACCUCCUUGCCUCUACGGUAUAUGUUUAAAUUUGAAACUGUAGUCAGCCCAACCUUACAGCAACGAUACCGGCAGCGUCGCUGCGCAGCUCCGUUCUCCGUGUAUUUUUCUCCGGGCAGCCUGAGUUGUGGUGCAUCCUAUAUAUACGCUUAAUACGGUACUAGGAGUAAGUAGCAUCUACGUAGAAACGGGCCCGGAGCCCAGAAAUGGAACGGGUCGCUGACGUCCCAGCACACGGCGAGUCCAAUCGGGACCCUUCUGACUUUGCUCUUACCAAUAAGAAUCUUGUUUGUUGCUACGUGUGCCGCCUAAUCAAGUCGCGCAACCAGGUGCGGUGUUUGUUGCGGUGGAGCGUUGAGGACGCUGCUCAGCCGAUUCCCUUUUGCAGUUCCAUGAUUCGGGUUGUGACAACUGUAAAUAAAAUCUUUUUGGACCUAGCAUUUCAUUUGAAGACUACACGACACCAAACUUCUCGGGGUAAGGACUGAGGCUUUUAAACGAUUCGGGGACUUUGUUCUUACGGGCGAGGAUGGAGGCAGUGAGAGGAUUCAUAAGCACAUGGCCUAACAAUGUUGCUUGCAGAAUGAUCGCUUAAUACGGUUUGUUAUACUCGUAAAGUUGUGUCUUCAGUAAUCUCUUCCUACCCCAUGUGCACGUGUAAUUUACGUGAUGAUGGUUCGAAUUCUCUAUGUGCCGUACACAGACAUCGCCUCCUUCACCAGCAUGUGUGGUCAGGUUCCGCCCCACCGAGUCAUGGCGUUCCUCAACGACCUCUUCACCACUUUUGACCAGCUGGUGGGGAAGCAUCAAGUUUACAAGGUCGAGACCAUCGGAGGUACGGCAUUGUACAUUGAUCUCUAUUAUGGACCCUAAGGCCAGUUGGGCUUGCAAGUGGCUUCACCUCGGUAGGUUUCUCGGGACAUCCGUGUUUCAGGUUCGGUCCAUUGAUGUGCGCGAGCUUAUGAUCUCCACCCGAAUCUCGCCCUCUGGCUUAGGAUAGAGGUACACGCUGCUGGGCGCAUGGUAAUUUUCAGGGGGUUCCGUCCAGCAGGCCCCCCCCAGUUGGUCAUCCUCGGGUGAUGGAGGCCCCCCACGUGCAUACCCCUCCACGGGUCAUAGCUGCGGCCAGUCGCGCUGUUCGUUGUGCAGAGUGGCUGGGGAGAACGUCUUGUUUGGUCGUGCUCCUAUAGUGAUGUCGCCAACUCUUCAUCCCCUCUCAACCGUCACUGCAUAUUCGUACAUAUAUUGGUGAGUGACGUCAACAUCCAACCGGUGGAUCAGCCCGCAUUGCGACGGAAGAUAUGCUUUGUACUACUGUUCAUUGUUUUAAGUUCUGUACGGAAGGUCGGAAGUACGGAAAGCUCGUGAUUGGAGAGCGACAUGAAGUGUUGUGCUGGGCGGGAUGACUGUCGUAGAAAAAGUUCGGGGAAAUACCGUGCGAAUGGGUGGCGUGUGUGCGUACGGCGUUCGUGUGCGUGUGCGUGUGCGUGUUUCACAAACGACGUUCAUGUCAAACCCGCGCCGCCUCCGCUUCCACGUCCUCAGGUCUGUUGCCUAUUUGGGAAAUGCCGUCGGGCUACAUCGGAUCUUUGCGUACGACCCGCCAGCGCUGGACAGUUUGUGGGAUGCCGUACGAGCCGGCAAGACGUGGAGCGGUCUCGUCUGCAUGCCGUCACACCUAGAUCUCCGGGGCCUGCGGGACGCCGCCAGCGCCGCCGCCAAGUCCACGUCACCAUGCGCCAACGCGCCCUCAGUGCGGCCGCCGACGCCACCGCUGCCGUCGUCCCCGAAAGCAUGCCAUGGAGCCAGGGGCUUUUUUACGGCGGUGGCGGCAGCGGUGGAGUCGGUGGCGACGCCGCCGCCGAUACGGACGUCGUGGGCUUGCUGCUACAGCAGCUGCAGCGGCACGGGAGCGGCACGGGCUCGCGGGUCGGUGGCGGCGCGACGGCGGCUACAGCUACGUGCGCUUCGGCGGCGGCGGUUGCUGUACCUGUCGGCUCUGGACGAGGGGUGGGGGAGAGGAGCACAGCUGUCGUUACCGCGGCCGCCGCUGGCUGUGGCAGCGGUGACAGCGGUGGCGGCGGCGGCGGGGGCUCCUGGGGAUUCGGCUGUGUAUCGCAUCUGCCGUCCGCCAGCUUGCCAUGACCACAGGCGCCGCCGGCCGAAUGCAACGCCAGCGCCGCCGGUUCACUCUCUCCUGACGUGGUGGCCACUAUUACAGGGCCGCCGCCGCCGCGAGCUACUGCAGCCACAGCCGGCGGCAGUAGCGGUGGCGGCUGCAACAACAGCGGCAGCCGCGGCAAACCCGUUAUGAAGCUGCCGCGCAACGUCUCGGCACCCACCUUUCACAGCGUUGCGAGCUCUAGUCGUCCUCUGCCGUCGGUACUGGAGGCGGAGGCAAGCUGCGGCGGCAGCGUUUGCGGCAGCGGAAGCGCCGCCGCCGUCAGCGUGGCGACCCUUCUGGCGCACCGUGCCAGCUGGAACGCCGACCAGACAUUCCCAGCCCAAGCUGGAACGUCGCUGUACGGCAGCUCUCCGUUGACGACGCCGUCAAGGCAGCUAUCCACUUCGGCGUCCGUCGGUAGCGGCGGAGCUGGCGGCGGCGGCGGCGGCAGUGCAGGACUGUUUGGUCCUUUGGGCCUGAUCCACAGCCCUUCUUCAGCUCAGCUGUCGUACUGGGCCAACUCCCGCCGUACACUCAUUCACAGGUCAAACAGCCUGGCGCAGACGGAGUACGCCCUGGACGGUAGCUACCGCGCCAUGCGGAUUGCGGCGUCAGCGGCGUCUCAGGGCCUUCUAGGCCAGGGGCCUACUACUGCUUUCGCUGGCGGCGGCGGCGGGUGGUCGUACGGCAGCGCUGACGGCCUUCAGUGCUGCAGUCCCCGCGGCUUGGAUGCGUCCCUCGCGGAUCAGAUGUCGGGUCCCAAGUUUGUGCCGCCCCUGGUAGCUAGUACGGCAGCGGCAGCGGCGCCAGCAGCGACGGCGGCGCGGAGAGUCCUAAGCGCCAGCGUGACGAGCGUGCGAGCUUCAUGCGGCGGCGGCGGCGGCGGCGGCGGCGGCGGCGGCGGCGGCGGCCUCCGAGGAUUCUCUGUGUCGAGCGGUGCUACGACCAGUUUAGCGACGGCGGGAGAGGAGCUCGCGCAUACCGAGGCGACGGCGGCGGCGGCGGCGCCGUCACCGCUUCUGCCCAGAGCAUCGCCGCCGUACGUUAGCAACUGCUGCUGGCAUGAGGUUCAAGCAAACCUGGUUCUGGAUCCGGUUUCAACGGAAUGGAAUCUGGUGCUCGCGUUCCAUGACGUCAUGUCGUACGUGCAGGCUGAGCUGGAGGUUAGACAGGUCUUAGAUGCUGAGGUGAGAGAGCUUUGUUGUGCAGUCACAAAUGGAAAAGGCAAAGCGAUAUGUAUAAAUGUUAUUGCAUCCGUUGGGAUUUGAAUGGUGUACCUUCCAGCUUUGCGGAAUGAAAUUCAAAACGAAUCUGUGUGGCCUUUGAUCCCAUUUUCUUUUGGGCCGUGCUCUCGACGGCUCACCUUCCUGGACCUGGAUCUGGAUCUUGAUGCUUCAUGGAUGGUACGACGGCGGGUUCGCACCACCCGCCGUACAGCACCGCAUCCUUGAAGAAGUCUUUCCGAGACACGUGCUGGAGGUGAUGACGUCAGACAAGUGCCGUACAUCGACUUUUGGCGGCGGCGGCGGCGGAUGUCCCUCCCUGGUGCGCACUUCCUCCUUGUCAUCGACUUACACUGUCAGCGGCGGUGCCGCCGCCACCGCCGGCAGGCAGCUGUCGUGUGGCGGACGUGGCGUGGGCCAGCCGGCACCUGCGCUAGCCGGCGGCGACGACGCAGCCGCUGCCGCGCCGAUGGCGACGGUCUUUGGGCGCAGUUCGGCGCCAAUCCUGUGCUCGCCAAGGAGCCCUGCCCGGGCGGCGGCGGCAGCGGCGGCGGCGGCGGUGGCGGCGAUACCUGACGGCCCUAGCGGUGGCGGCAGCGACGUCGGCGGCGUCGGGGCUGUCGUGCCUCAUAGCCUGGCACACGAUUUGUUCUCGCCGCCGUCGUCAACCACUGACGGCAAUGCCGCCGCCACCGACCCCGCCAUCGCAACACGCCGUAUUCAGCCGUACCUCGCCGCAAUGUCUGGCCGCAGCGCCACCGCCGCCUCGGCCACCGCUGCUGCCGCCGCAGCCACCAACGGCUGCAGUGGAGAGCGCCGCAGCAUCAGCACGAAUUUAGGCGCGUCUUGUAGCCUGGCGUCGUAUAACCACUGCANNNNNNNNNNNNNNNNNNNNNNNNNNNNNNNNNNNNNNNNNNNNNNNNNNCUGCGUACACCACAUUUCAACUCUCCAAGACCCCAGUGCGAUGUUGCGUCGGCGUGAAGCAAGGGCCCCCAUUGUCAACGCUUCUAAUCAACGCAGUCAAGCUCACAUCGUCUUCCGCUGCUGGUGAGUGACGCCGGAUGCACGGUCGCCCGUACAUGUCGUACGUUAGUUAGAACGCGCCUAGAUUUCCGGCCGUGAGGCCGUUACACGUCGUAUCAAGGUCGGCCAUCGUUCUUGGAUUCUAUGGGUGAAGGCGCGUUGCAAAUGGAUAGACGAGUUGGUGACGGAGGGGGAUUUCGGUAUGAAAUUGUGCUCCGUGUAUUUUUCUCCGGGCAGCCUGAGUUGUGGUGCAUCCUAUAUAUACGCUUAAUACGGUACUAGGAGUAAGUAGCAUCUACGUAGAAACGGGCCCGGAGCCCAGAAAUGGAACGGGUCGCUGACGUCCCAGCACACGGCGAGUCCAAUCGGGACCCUUCUGACUUUGCUCUUACCAAUAAGAAUCUUGUUUGUUGCUACGUGUGCCGCCUAAUCAAGUCGCGCAACCAGGUGCGGUGUUUGUUGCGGUGGAGCGUUGAGGACGCUGCUCAGCCGAUUCCCUUUUGCAGUUCCAUGAUUCGGGUUGUGACAACUGUAAAUAAAAUCUUUUUGGACCUAGCAUUUCAUUUGAGGACUACACGACACCAAACUUCUCGGGGUAGGGACUGAGGCUUAAAAAUCGGGGACUUUGUUCUUACGGGCGAGGAUGGAGGCAGUGAGAGGAUUCAUAAGCUCACGUCUUGUAGCCUGGCGUCGUAUAACCACAGCACCUGCACAGCCCAUGGAGUGUACGACAGUUGCGACGAUCGUACAAGCUUCGGCUGCUUCAGUCAUCAACUCAUGCGAGCGGUGAUAACAUCGCAGAGCCUUGCGGCUUUGACAGCUGCGGCGCCGUCACCGCCGCCGCUGCUGCUACUGCCGCCGCCGCCGCCGCCGCAUGCGCCCCAGCGCCGCCGGGCCUCUGCGGCGACGCAACGGAGGCGGCCGCCACAGCGGCCCCCGUCGCCACCACCCUCCCAUCGCCGCCGCCACCUGUCCGCCCGCUACAGCUCCCCAACGCGCAAUCAGCAUUGGGCUCCAGCUACAGCCACAGUCACAGCGUCACCUCACCCUCCACGCCCUCGUGUGGUGGUUUCGGAGCCUUGAGCGGCGCACAGCAGUACAUGGCGAGAGCGCAUGAGGAGGUGACGGUGCUAUUCGCAGGUGGGUUGCCGGUGGGGUGUGUUUGAACUGUGUGUGGCGGUGGUUCGACAUAGCGCCCGGGGUAUUACGACAACGGUUUCAACUGACGACAACGGUUUGCCGUACUUUACCGUAACUGAUGCACGGUCCCUCGCUUACAUAAUAUACAAAAUACACUGUCACCAUGAGCUGUUUACCUUUUUAUUAUAAUGGAUGCUUGAAGUUUUUGAAUUUUUUAUAUUUUUUAUAUUUAUAUUUUUUAUAUUUAUAUUUUUUAUAUUUUUUAUAUUUUUAAUAUUUUGUUAUACUCGUAAAGUUGUGUCUUCAGUAAUCUCUUCCUACCCCAUGUGCACGUGUAAUUUACGUGAUGAUGGUUCGAAUUCUCUAUGUGCCGUACACAGACAUCGCCUCCUUCACCAGCAUGUGUGGUCAGGUUCCGCCCCACCGAGUCAUGGCGUUCCUCAACGACCUCUUCACCACUUUUGACCAGCUGGUGGAAGCAUCAAGUUUACAAGGUCUAGACCAUUGGAGGUACGGCAUUGUACGGCAUCGUCGUACAUAUCAUAGUGCGGAAGUGUACGGAACUGAGGCGAUGCCGUUUUUGCAUAAUUUGGCGGAACGGCUGCCGAGAAGCGUGACUGUGUUACAUUCCAGACCAGGUGUAUCCUAUCUUGUGUGUUCGAUAGGCGCUCUCCUGUUCGAUCCUUUUUUCAUAGCUUUUGAUACCUGUACCAAACCAUCUUUUUCAUAUCCUCGUCUUUGGAAAACUGUCGCAAACGCUGCUUAAUCUGGAAGCUGACCUAAAUUGCUUCUUUCCGCUUUCGUCGAACGCAGAUUGCUACAUGGUGUGCGGCGGACUUGUAGAAGAGGACGCCGAGGGAUUCAGGUACGACUGGUACGACCGGUACGAAACAAAAGGAAGGUUCUUUUGUUUCCCUCUUGUUGUAGCUCCCUGUUGAUAAAAUUUAAUACGCAACUUCUUAAACAUCACUCCUGCCGGUGCCAAUCCAUAUGCCGUACCCACGCCGUACAACCACCGCCGUACAUCACAGGUCCGUUACAGAGGCCGUGGAUCCCCUGCACGCGCACAAGGUCUUUGCAUUCGCCGCGUUGGAAGCGGCUCGCUGCGUGAUGAUGCCCGGUACCGGCCAGCCUGUACGACUGCGAGUAGGCAUCCACAGCGGCCCCGUCAUGAGCGGCAUCGUGGGGCGGAAGAUGCCCCGUUUUUGUCUGUUUGGCGACACAGGUGUGUGAGUUUGGGGUUAUAUAUUUAUAGUUUUUUUGAGUCUCCGUUCUCUGUGAGAGUGAAGCACCGGCCAGCAGCAAUGGCGAAAUGUCUUCGUGGUUCUUCUUGGGGUUUUAUUCAUGAAUGGCUGUUUGGGGGAAUAUAUGGGACUAUUCACUGCACGACCCCGACGCGACAGGGCUACAGGUCGACCACUGGCCGCCAGGGCAGCACCCGGGGGGGGGGGCCGUACGUAGCUCCACGUGUAUGUAGCUCGAAGCUUGCUGCGACAGAUAUGAUGUAUUUCUAGGCAAGUCCGCACAUCGUUCGUGAAAACCUACCUUUCCACAAGAUUUUACUUAAUUUUUAGUAGUAUUAACUUUUACUUUAAUUCAGCUUUCGGUUUCUGUUGGCAGCGCAUGUUGCCGGGCCCUCCUCCCCCUCCUCCUCCCCUCCCCCUCCUCCCCCUCCCCCUCCUCCCCCUCCCCCUCCUCCCCCUCCCCCUCCUCCUCCCCUCCCCCUCCUCCCCUCCCCCUCCUCCCCCUCCCCCUCCUCCCCCUCCUCCCCCUUCCGUGCGUGAAUCUGUGUAUCGCUCUUGCCCUUCUCGCUCCAGUCAACGUUGCCAGUCGAAUGGAGUCCACGGGUGUACCUGGUGCCGUACACAUUUCUGCGGCCACGCGGGCCUUAUUGGGCGCCGCGGCCGACGGAUUUCUUUCCACGGGGGGAAUUCCCGUCAAGGGCAAGGUACGGAUUGGGGAGUUGGCAGUUGACGGUUGGGAAUUGAUGUUAUUGUUCUUUCCUGGUAUUAUUCGCACUUUAUUCGCACUGGUCCACAUGCCCACGGAUCCGCCACCACGCAGUUCUCUUCACAGAGUUGUUUACCGGAGAAGUGAGGGGGGGGCAUAUUCCCUCCCUCACUCACUCACCCACUCAAAGAAUACCAAGCGCAGCAUCAUUCGCAUAUUGGGGUGUGAAACGCAGUUCUUCAUGCAGGUCGUCAUCAUGUCAUCCUUCUCUGCGCCUCCCCCCGGCCUCACCAAACCAUGUAACCCAUGUGCUUGUAUGACGUACGGCGCAGGGGUUCAUGCUCACGUACGUGUACGACCCGUGCGGCGUCGCUCCGCAGCGCUCUCAAACAGUCUCCCGAACUGGAUCAGGUGCGGAACAGGAGGGUGCCGCUGUGGCGGGUGCCGCUAAGCUAUCGGGUGCCUGUCCUGAUCCUGAUCUACCAAUCUUGACCGCUACAGCCGUGCCGGGUAUUGGUAGGGAAGGUCCCCAGGUCCCGGGGGGAGAAGCAUCUAGCGGUACACCGACAGAGGCGCCGCCUCCGUUGCCGCAAUAGGCCAUGUACGACAUGACGUACAUGGCACCCCAAGUGGUAUGAUUGUGCGCGCGUGUUGCAAAAGCGAGGACCGCUCUCUUGCGUGUGUGCCAUUCCCGAAUGUAUAUUCGACGUUUGUUGUACUGCAGCAUGUACGGAGUACGGAAUACGGCAUAAUACGGAUAUGGCACGUGUUUGUACAAUUAUGUCAGUUUUGUACUUUGGCUCGGUCCUGCGAUGUCGGUUCCCGCAGCUGUGAGGGAAGGUGUUUUCCGGGCGCGUGCAGGAGGGUCCUUCGAACCCGCCAUGAAUAUCUAGCUAGCUAGCUAGCUAGCGGGAUUGUGUCUUGUAAAUUAUUUUGGCGCUGGCAAAUAUUUGUCUUGGCAGGAGUUUGUGACUGGCUUGCGAGGGUCGUGGUNNNNNNNNNNNNNNNNNNNNNNNNNNNNNNNNNNNNNNNNNNNNNNNNNNCGCAACGAGCACAGACUUUGCACGGCAAAACAACAUGAGCAGCUGCGCACAAAAUGCAGAAACAUACUAAUAAGCACACAGGCGGAUCGCGGGCAGUUUUGAAUAUUUCAUCACAAAGUAAAAACAGUAGCACCCUCACACAUACCCACACAUACGUAUACAUGCGUGCGCGUGGACACACACAUACACCCUCUUACACACACCUACAGACACUUACACACGCACACGCGCGCGCGCGAGCACAUUCUCACCCACAUUUGAACACCAACAUACAAACAUACAUACAAUUGCGCACAAAUACAAGCCACUGAACACCGCAACAAUAACCAUCGGCCGGCUUUCCAGCUCCUAUCUGAGUUUGCUGACCUUAUCUUUGCAGUUUGCUGCCUUUGUGCUUUUGCUGUCGUUGUCGCUGUUGCUGCUUGCCGGCACGACAGGAGAAAAACACCGCGCCACGAAACACCCACAGCAAGAAACUUUGCUCCGAACGUAUGUACGACAUCACUACAUCACGAACGGACACAAAGUGGCACCCACGCAGUGAACAUACGGGGAAAGACCUUCAUACCGUACUCCCUACACGCCGCACCUUACCAAGGUACAACAAUUUCAUACCGAAAUCCCCCUCCGUCACCAACUCGUCUAUCCAUUUGCAACGCGCCUUCACCCAUAGAAUCCAAGAACGAUGGCCGACCUUGAUACGACGUGUAACGGCCUCACGGCCGGAAAUCUAGGCGCGUUCUAACUAACGUACGACAUGUACGGGCGACCGUGCAUCCGGCGUCACUCACCAGCAGCGGAANNNNNNNNNNNNNNNNNNNNNNNNNNNNNNNNNNNNNNNNNNNNNNNNNNAGUCAAAGAGCCAGAUGUGUGUGUGUGUGUGUGCCUGUGUGUGUGCGUGUGCCUGUGUGUGUGCAUGUGUAUGUGUGUGUGCGUGUGUGUUGAUUAACCGCGACACGGGAGCGGGCCAACAUGUGUGCACGAAUGCGAGCUCCGUAGUCGAGCGACGUAUACUAGUGCCUUUUCCAGUAAAUAAACCGUGGAGGAUUCUCCAACAAGAUGCGUAGAUGGUAUCCAGAGCCCGGAUAGAAGUGUGCGGCGCUGUGGGCAACUGCGUGUGUGUGUGUGUGUGCGUGUGUGUUUCAUCUGAGCCGCGAUAUGAGAACCUGAUGCCUGAGUUGUAUCGAUGUGAGCUCCGUGAAAAGCUUUUCCGUAAAUUACUGUAGACAUAGCUGCUUGAACAUUCCUCUUCACAAAAUCCCUCAGGAUGCUUCCCUUCCCUGGGGCAGCCAUGUUGAGGGCAGGAUCAGCCGGGGGGCUUACAACCAAGCUGGUAAGAAAGGUUGUGACCUCGCUGGCCCAACAUUCUGUGUUGCGGCCAAGUGCAGGUCAGCGACAAAAGCUCUGUAACAUUGGGUGCCCGACUUUCCAAAACAUAAUUGUAGUGGCCUCUGUGACAGCUCACAGUACGGCAGAAGCUUAGUUAGGCUCCUGGCCCCUACCACCGUCCAUAUGAACGCGCGCUGCUCCUGGACCAUAUGGAUUUGUCACUCGGCAUUCUCCAAGUUCACAUUGAAAAACCCGGAUCCCCACACUUGCACUUCGUAGGAAAGGNNNNNNNNNNNNNNNNNNNNNNNNNNNNNNNNNNNNNNNNNNNNNNNNNNAAUGGAAGGUAACUGCAGGCCGGCUGCCAUGGGGUGGGGGUGGGGGUGGGUGGUGGGGGUGGGUGGUGGGGGUGGUGAUGCCUGGAAGCCGGAGAUGAUGUCGACUUUACAAUCAUGGCGCAGAAUGCAGACCUGCAAGUACGUACAUACGUACAUACAUACAAAUGUAUACACCCUUUAUUCACGACGCGGCUUGUCAUGCGCAUAUAUAAAGCGAUUUGUUACCGUACAUGCGGGGCACUCCUCUUUUUGCUCAAAUUCGAAGUAUUGGAAUUUGCGAAUGCAUGCAUCGCAUGCUAUGUAUCGCGAAUACCGGUAACUGGCAUCGGCAACCGUUAACAACCGUAUUAAACCGGUUUGCUGACUUUGGACUUUACGACCCAUGGGCCAUGUCCCUUUAAAACAGUGAAAAUCACAAAAUCGACAUGUCCUAGUCAUUAACCGUUAGCGCUAACGGUCGGUCGGUCAUUGAAGUGCUGCUUGUUUAUUUCCUAGGGUUGUCAGGACGCGUCUUGCGUCUUGGCAUCUUUCAAAGGUUGAUCCGUCGUCGCAAGAGUCUCCUAAUCGGAAAAGAGAGAGGGGAAGACAGAGGGAUAAGCGUAUGCGAAAGGAGAUGCGCGCGGCGUCUGGCGCGCGCGCGCGAGCGAGAGGGUGUGAGUCGUAGCAAGGGUGAGGGGGAUGGAGGAAGCGAGAGCGUGAGAGGAGUGUUGGUGGAACAGCAGGUCCCAUUUUGAUGUGGGAAGCAGGUGGUGCUGGUGGUGUCAUAGAUGUCGUUAAAUGUCGGUGCAUUGCCGAGCGCUUUGGUGGUGUCAGUGAUCUGUUGCGGAGGAUGAGAGGGAAGGGAACGGAGGGACACAGGAGU
rnacentral:lncRNA from 1 species